rnacentral:rRNA from 1 species
UACGUAGGUGGCAAGCGUUGUCCGGAUUUACUGGGCGUAAAGAGCGCGCAGGCGGUCGGAUCAGUCGAAUGUGAAAGCCCCCGGCUCAACUGGGGAGGGUCAUUCGAUACUGUCCGACUCGAAGGCAGGAGAGGGAAGCGGAAUUCCCGGUGUAGAGGUGAAAUUCGUAGAUAUUGGGAAGAACACCGGUGGCGAAGGCGGCUAUCUGGACCGACAUUGACGCUGAGGCGCGAAAGCGUGGGGAGCAAACAGG